AAUUUCCCAUAAUUAAAGUAUUGUGCUUACUUUGGAACAAUACAGAGAAGAUUAGCGUAGCACAUGGAUGACUCCCAAACUUAUAAAGUAUUCCACAUUAAA
rfam:Erinaceus europaeus unplaced genomic scaffold scaffold00148, whole genome shotgun sequence